rnacentral:rRNA from 1 species
UACGGAGGGUGCAAGCGUUAUCCGGAUUCACUGGGUUUAAAGGGUGCGUAGGAGGGCAGGUAAGUCAGUGGUGAAAUCUCCGGGCUUAACCCGGAAACUGCCGUUGAUACUAUCUGUCUUGAAUAUCGUGGAGGUAAGCGGAAUAUGUCAUGUAGCGGUGAAAUGCUUAGAUAUGACAUAGAACACCCAUUGCGAAGGCAGCUUACUACACGAUCAUUGACGCUGAGGCACGAAAGCGUGGGGAGCAAACAGG